rnacentral:rRNA from 1 species
CCGCCAGAGAACUACAAGUGAAAAACUUGAAACUCAAAGGACUUGACGGUGUCCCAUAUCGACCUAGAGGAGCCUGUCCUAUAAUCGAUACCCCCCGUUCCACCCAACCCCAACUAGCAAAAUAUCAGCCUAUAUACCGCCGUCGACAGUCUACCCCAUGAGGGUUCAACAGUAGACACAAUAGCCUUAACGCUAAUACGUCAGGUCAAGGUGUAGCAAAUGUUGAGGAAAAGAUUGGCUACAUUUUUUAUGAUAAAAAACACGAAUUGCACUAUGAAACACUGCAUGAAGGUGAAUUUAGUAGUAAAACAGACAAGAGUGUCUGUUUUAACAACGCUCUGG